rnacentral:rRNA from 1 species
GUGCCAGCAGCCGCGGUAAUACGAGGGGGGCAAGUGUUGUUCGGAAUUACUGGGCGUAAAGGGAGCGUAGGCGGGCUCUUAAGUUGGAUGUUUAAAACCGGGGCCCAACCCCGGCGUGGCAUCCAAAACUGGGAGUCUUGAAUGGGACAGAGGCCAGUGGAAUUAGAGGUGUAGCGGUGGAAUGCGUAGAGAUCUCUAAGAACACCAGUUGCGAAGGCGGCUGGCUGGGUCCACAUUGACGCUGAGGCUCGAAAGCGUGGGGAGCAAACAGGAUUAGAUACCCUGGUAGUCC